AAGGUCAGAGUGGGAAUGAAUUACUUAGUCCUAUGAGUAAGUCAAUAAACUUGAAUUUAGAGUGAUAAUACUUGCUGGUUUUACACUUACUUCUGUGCCUUUGGCAGGAGAGAGGCAAAUAUUGUUGAUUAUGUGAAUGUGGCACUGUUUGGGAAGAUAUGCUCAAGAGGCUUGUAUGGUAGCGACAAAGAAUUACAUAAAUUGGAACUAUUUUGGAUAUAAUUUUUUUCAGGAGUCUCACAACUCAAGAAAGAAACGGGAAAUUACUGAAAAACAGAUAGACGAUAACAGAAAAUUUUCUUUAUUUGCUGAAAGAAAAUACCAGACUCUUAACUGUAGCGUGAACGUGAACUGUGUGAACAUCA
rnacentral:sRNA from 1 species